UUUUGACCUGAUUGUCAAGAUGAAGGCAACUACUGUGCUUCUUCUCUCCUGUGUGCUGCUUUCUGCUGCAUAUGGGUUGAAAUGUUAUAGUUGUCUAAGUGGAAUAAACUGCGAACAUACAGAGACCUGCCUUGAACAAAAUCUUCAAUGCUAUAAGACUCAUGGAGGGGUUCAAGCAAGGGGCUGUAUGCUAAAGGAUCUGUGCAAGACUGGCCAUGUAAGCUGUUGUGAUACAGACCUGUGCAAUGCAGGAACACGAAAUGAGUGGCAUGUUGGACAGAGCCUUUUCCUCCUGCUGGUGUCUCUGACCUCUAUUGCCCUCUUCCACUGAAGGAUCCCACCAGUAUUCCCACAAUGCACUGCAUGCCCACUGCCUUCUGCUCUCCAGCUGGCCUGCAGGACACCGUGGGUCUCCAUAGUGUUGCGUUGCUUUACCACAGGUCUUCAUCUCAUCCAGUUGUAAUCAGCUUUCGGGCAAAUGGUCUACAUAGUCCAGUGCUUGGAAUUUGCUUUAAAUAGUUUGUUCAAUUAAUUUUCAUGAAGAAUAAUGACUGUACUCAACCAACCCG